GUUGUUGUGGCUCAGUAGUAGAGUGCUUGCUUAGUAUGCAAGAGGCACCAGGUUCAAUCCUCAGCACCA
rnacentral:tRNA from 1 species